rnacentral:rRNA from 1 species
CAGCAGCCGCGGUAAUACGUAGGGUGCAAGCGUUAAUCGGAAUUACUGGGCGUAAAGCGUGCGCAGGCGGUUAUAUAAGACAGAUGUGAAAUCCCCGGGCUCAACCUGGGAACUGCAUUUGUGACUGUAUAGCUAGAGUACGGCAGAGGGGGAUGGAAUUCCGCGUGUAGCAGUGAAAUGCGUAGAUAUGCGGAGGAACACCGAUGGCGAAGGCAAUCCCCUGGGCCUGUACUGACGCUCAUGCACGAAAGCGUGGGGAGCAAACAGGAUUAGAUACCCCUGUAGUCCCUGUCUCUUAUAC